CACUGUCGCGGAUCACGUCUUACGUCUUCGUCGCAAGAGAAUCAUCUUUUUUUUCGAUGGAAUAGUAUGCUUGAAAAGUAACCUUAGCCUCGACCGGUAGGGUUAAGACGACACGGCAUUGUUCUUUUGAAGCACGGUGUCUGAUUACUCGCGCCGCGUACAUACUUCAGCUACAAAGAGACUGGGGUUGUUCUCUGUUAAUACAGAAUGUUACAAGAAUAGUCAUAUGGCUUUCAAACGUCCUGAAAAGAUAUUGAAAUAUAUAUUUUUUAUAUUUCUUGUUUGUGGUUGGGGAUCGACUUUCCUAAAAUCAGAAUAAGAUCCACCUGAUGCUUCCUACUCAUAAAAAUCCUGUUUGGUCGUACUUAAACUACGAAGGGACUGAAGUAAUUUUUUGUUAAUACCGAAUGCUAUAAGAAAAGCUUUCAGAUAUUCUGAAGAGAUAAAAUAUAUUUACUGGUUUUGUUUGCGGUUGGGGAUCAAGUUUCCUAAAAUCAGAAAAAGAUCGACCUGAUGCUCCCUCACCUGUAAAAAUCCUAGUUUCUCGUAUAUACCUGAACUACGAAGGGACUGAAGUUACCCUCUGUUAAUUAGUUUUCAGAUAUCCUGAAAGGGUAGUUAUUACUAAAAUAUACUUACUGACUGUUGUUCGCGGUUGAGGAUCAACUUUCCUAAACUCAGAAGAAGACCUGAUGCUCCCUCACCAAUAAAAAUCCUAUUUGGUCGUACAUACCUGAACUACGAAGGGACUGAAGUCAUUUUUUGUUAAUACCGAAUGUUACAAGAAUAGCUUUCACAUAUCCUGAAAGGGUAAUUAUUACUAAAAUAUGUUUACUGACUGUUGUUUGCGGUCGGGGAUCAACUUUCCUAAAAUCAGAGUAAGAUCGACCUGACGCUUCCUUCCCGUGAAAAUCCUAUUUGCGUCUCGCGCGACUCACACCCCACCAGUCAAGGGGUUAACGAGCCACUAACCGUAACGUAACGUCUUACCAACAGCUCGAAGCGGCGCGACGCGAUGCUCCAAUGAACGUCCGUAAAUUCCAGUCACGUCGCGCGCGUUGCGUUUGGAAUCAGAUGAAACUGAUAACUGGUUACACGCGGCGUCUUUACUAUGAUUUGUUCCCAUAUGAGUCCACGGCCAAAGUCAACAGUUAAACGCGACGGGGAGCAGCUUUUACGCUGGUGAACUACUCCCAGGCUCCCAGCUGCGCUAAUGGUAGAACAGACGAGCAGCAGUGAAUUAAGCAUGUCGCGCGAUUUCAUCCGCCUGACG